CACGUAGGCACCAAGCGUUGUCCGGAAUUUAUUGGGCGUAAAGAGCUCGUAGGCGGUUGAGUAAGUCGGGUGUGAAAACUCUGGGCUUAACCCAGAGCCGCCACCCGAUACUGCUCUGACUUGAGUUCGGUAGGGGAGCAGGGGAAUUCCUAGUGGUAGCGGUGAAAUGCGCAGAUAUUAGGAGGAACACCGGUGGACGAAGGCGCUGCUCUGGGCCCGAUACGUGACGCUGAGGAGCGAAAGCCGAGGGGAGCGUAGAGGAAA
rnacentral:rRNA from 1 species